GGAUCACAUGUUGCUCUGGCUGUGGCAUAGGCUGGUGGCUAUAGCUCUGAUCCAACCCCUAGCCUGGGAACUUGCAUAUGCCUUGGGUGCAGCCCUGAAAAGGAACAAAAAAGGGAAAAGAAAAGAAAAAUGGAAUCAAAUGCCCCCUUUCCAAAAAUAUCUUCCACUCUGGGUCUUGGAAGAUAUUCUUUGCCUCAGCAAAGAAUCAGCCCAACUUACUGUGCCUUUUACAUUCAAUUUCGGUCAACUCAAAUUCUCUUGUUAAAUAAUAUACUCUGCUGACAUAUUCACUAUUGCAUCUAAUAAGGCAAAGGUGUGGGUUCUAUAGAUUUUAUAAGGUUAUUGCAAAGACUGAUAUUUUAAAGAAAAACAAAGGAUUUCUGAGUAAUAGUGAUGGAUAGUUUGGGUGCUUUGCUUACAAGUAAAAGAAACCAAUUUAAACAAUUUAAGACAAAGGCAGGGGUGGGGGAGCAGCUCAUAUCACUGGAAGGAAAGACUUGAAGGACAGUAGGACAAACAGUGCUGAGAAGGACAGGGCUCAUGGCCCGGCCCCAGGGCUCUGGAGGUAGGAACUCGGGGGCUGCUCUGAGGGCCCAGCCCUCAGAAUGUCUGAACCGCAGCUGGCUUCCUGCUCACCGGAGGCACAUGGUCCAGUGAAUGGUAGUGUGAACUUACCCUUGGAGACUCUCAGCUCACAGAACACCUCGGUGGGCAAACAUUUCCUCCUUUCCAACAGUUCCUGGUUGUCUUUGGGGUUAAUUGUACCUUGCCUUUCUCUCUGCAGUGAAGACAGCUCACAAAAAGGAAGUCCAUGUUAGGGAAUGUUUCAAAGGGAAAGAAAACCCCAGGUGCAAUAUAACUAACUAGAAAGUAACCAUUCGUAAAAGAAAGCAAUUCAGCAAGGAAGAGAUCGUUUGUGAAAAGCUGGUUAGAAUACGUCAAGUCGGUUAGAGUAAGUUAGUGGCCAAGGCAGGGAUGCUAUCCUGGAGAAUGUUUUAACUUGUUUUUAGGUGUAACAAUAACUCCGCAUCAUUAACUCUUGAGUCGGCCUUUUGAGAUGGAGGGGAGGCCUGGGAGGCUCAAGGAAAAGUCUUCCUACUUCAAAACACAAGGGCCCGGGGGCUCGUCCACGGUUUCAGCACUGGGCUGAGAGUUCCUCUGUGUACGCCGUGUCCUUGGCCGUCCUAGUGGAGAUGUGUUCUUUCUCUCCUGGGCUGGUCUGUGGGUUCAUCAGGCCGCAUGGAAGGACAGCCCCCCACCAGUCUCUGUUCUGGUCCUUUAAAGAAGAAGCAGAAAGGACUUGGGGCUGCUCUGUCUCCUCCCAGCCCCUCCUGAGGGCUCUACCUCUAUGGGAACUCCUUUUGGGAGAGAGAGAAAGGGAAGGAAACACAGCCAAGGCCUCCUUCCUGUGCCCAAGACCCGUGGGGCUUUGCCCGUUGCCAGGGUCCUAAUGGGGCUGGACACCUUCACUGCUUGAAGAAUCCACCACCCAGGCAAGACCUCAUUCCCACUCCCACCCUCCACUGGCCAACCCCCUGGGGAUACAUCAGGGAUCUUGAGUGCCCAAAAUGAAACGUGGCGCCUGGUUACCGUCCACUCCUAUUACAGGGACUACCUCUGUUUUGCUCUGUCUCUGCUUUGGUACACAGCAUAGAAAAUUACAGGGUGAAACUCCAAAAGUUUUGAGUCUAGGAAAAACCUAUCAUUGACCACCUGAGCAGCUGGGGUCAUUUUGUCGUGGUCUGUCAUUUUGUCGUGGAUAGGAAAAAGGAAUUUUCCAGCCUAGCGAGGUGAAAAGAAAGAACAAUUUAUUGAGAUAAGAGACACUGCAAGUGCAGUAGGUUGACUGCCUUACAAUCAGGGAGAGCGGACGGACCCUGAGCACGUGGUCAUGUCUGCUUUUAUAGCCCACGGAGAGAAGGGGGCUCAGGAUAUACCUGAGGACCUGCUGGUUGGUUGGGGAAAGGGAGUCAGGAUACACUUGCUGGUGGUUGGGUCGUAUAAGGCCCUAUAGAGGCAGGAGGAGGAGUGGGCCACAUACCUUUCCCAGUAGGGGCAGGAAGGAGUAGGCCAGGUUGCUCAAGGUGGGGGAGGGGGGCAUUGCCAUGAGGCGGGUGGGGCGAUGAUAAGGGUCUGGUCGUUCUUGUCUUGGCCAGAGGCUUUGAGUUCAGUCUCCUUGAAGGAGCCUUGAAGUCCCACAGUUUUCACCACAGGGGUGUCGUCUGUCUGAAGUCAACCCCAGACGGUGACCCAGACAACCCCCCCACUCAAAAAUACGACACAUCCCCUACCUUUCCCCAGAGAGGACCCCUCUGAGCUGCUGUCCUUGAGCCACUGAGGCAGGAGAGGGUUUGGCGUGGCUCCAGGACCGUUCUGUAGCAAGACGAUUUGGAGUCUGGCCAUGUGCCCUCAGCCAAUGGUUCACCUUUCCCGGAAGUGACUCCCCGUAAAAACAGAUGAGUAUCCAGCAAAAGAAAGCCUGGUGCUGAGGAUGCUGCACCCCCAUAGUUGAUUUGGUCAUCCUGGGUCUCUAAACUAGGUGUGGGAGAUGGAGGGGGCUUUCUUGGGCAGUGCAGGUGUGGGAGGCAUAGGAAUCUCUGCUCCCUGCUGGCUUGAGGGCAGCAGAGAAUUCCUCGCUGGAGACAGGCCCCAGAAGCCAUCCUUUUAAGAGCUGCUAUCUGAUCACUUCAAUGUGGCUCCUUGGUAGGGGAGCUUUUUUUUUUUUCUCUCCUGGAGGUGGCAGAGGAGCCCAGGCUUCCAGAAGAAGCUAGUAACUUUUCCUUUUUACAACAUUUAAAAUAUUACUACCAAUACAAAUGCUUAAAUACUUAAAUCAUUGGAGAAGCUCUUGUAAUCAAACCCUUUCUACUUGAAUAUGCAAUUCCUACCAGGACACAGUGUGAAACUUCACCUUAAAUCAAUAAUUUGUUUAUAUGAUGAUCAAGCCUGCUAAUGGAAAGGCUUUGUGCUCAGUUACUGAGCUCCUACUGUGUGCCAGGCCCUGGGCUCAGCAACUAAGCAAGUAACUGAGCAGGGCCUUGUGAGGCUCCUGGGCAUACAGGUCUUUCUGUGUCCCCCAUUUCUUGUUUUUAGGGAAUAAGCUUCAGCCUCCAUGGCCUUCCCUGAGUUCCAAAGGGCAGUUGCUAAUCAGGGAAGGAAGGGGAUGCAGAGACCAGAGCAGAGCCUUCAAGACACAAUAGAGCAGCCUUGGGGCAGGAUCCUGGUUCCUCCUCCAGGAAUAUACAGAACAAUAUCCUUGAGCCCUUCUGCAGAACUAAAGCCCCCAACAAAUGGAAGAUUUAUUGAUUGAUUUAUUUUUAGGGCCACACCCAUGCAUUUGGAGUUUCCCUGGCUAGGGUUUUUAUCAGAGCUGUAACUGCUGGCCUCCACCACAGCCACAGCAAUGCAGGAUCUGAGCCACGUCUUGCAACCUACACCACAGCUCAC
rnacentral:lncRNA from 1 species